rnacentral:rRNA from 1 species
UGACAGUACUCCUACGGGAGGCAGCAGUGGGGAAUCUUCCACAAUGGGCGCAAGCCUGAUGGAGCAACACCGCGUGAGUGAAGAAGGUUUCGGCUCGUAAAGCUCUGUUGUUAAAGAAGAACACGUAUGAGAGUAACUGUUCAUACGUUGACGGUAUUUAACCAGAAAGUCACGGCUAACUACGUGCCAGCAGCCGCGGUAAUACGUAGGUGGCAAGCGUUAUCCGGAUUUAUUGGGCGUAAAGAGAGUGCAGGCGGUUUUCUAAGUCUGAUGUGAAAGCCUUCGGCUUAACCGGAGAAGUGCAUCGGAAACUGGAUAACUUGAGUGCAGAAGAGGGUAGUGGAACUCCAUGUGUAGCGGUGGAAUGCGUAGAUAUAUGGAAGAACACCAGUGGCGAAGGCGGCUACCUGGUCUGCAACUGACGCUGAGACUCGAAAGCAUGGGUAGCGAACAGGAUUAGAUACCCUGGUAG